AUCUAGCUGACGAGUCCCAAAUGAGACGAAACGCGCGUCCUGGAU
rfam:Schistosoma rodhaini strain Burundi genome assembly, scaffold: SROB_contig0000450